rnacentral:rRNA from 1 species
UCGGGAGCUUGCACAGGUGCUGCAUGGCUGUCGUCAGCCCGUGUCGUGAGAUGUCGGUUAAGUCCGCUAACGAGCGCAACCCUCGCUGUGUGUUAUAUGUGUCACACGGGACUGCCGGUCUUAAGCCGGAGGAAGGUGGGGAUGAUGUCAAGUCAGCAUGGCCUUUAUAUCCUGGGCUACACACACGCUACAAUGGCCAACACAAUAGGUUGCUAAGCCGCGAGGUGGCGCCAAUCCAUAAAGUUGGUCUCAGUUCAGAUUGUAGGCUGCAACCCGCCUGCAUGAAGGCGGAAUCGCUAGUAAUCGCGGGUCAGCAGACCGCGGUGAAUACGUUCCCGGGUUUU